UGCAUGUGUGAUUGUAAGUCGCUUUGGAUAAAAGCGUCUUCUAAAUGGCAUAUA
rfam:Salmo salar isolate Sally breed double haploid chromosome ssa09, whole genome shotgun sequence.